AGUGAACGCUGGCGGUAGGCCUAACACAUGCAAGUCGAACGGCAGCACAGUAAGAGCUUGCUCUUACGGGUGGCGAGUGGCGGACGGGUGAGGAAUACAUCGGAAUCUACUUUUUCGUGGGGGAUAACAUAGGGAAACUUACGCUCAUACCGCAUACGACCUACGGGUGAAAGCAGGGGAUCUUCGGACCUUGCGCGAUUGAAUGAGCCGAUGUCGGAUUAGCUAGUUGGCGGGGUAAAGGCCAACCAAGGCGACGAUCCGUAGCUGGUCUGAGGGGAUGAUCAGCCACACUGGAACUGAGACACGGUCCAGACUCCUACGGGAGGCAGCAGUGGGGAAUAUUGGACAAUGGGCGCAAGCCUGAUCCAGCCAUACCGCGUGGGUGAAGAAGGCCUUCGGGUUGUAAAGCCCUUUUGUUGGGAAAGAAAAGCAGCAGGUUAAUACCCCGCUGUUCGGACGGGACCCAAAGAAUAAGCACCGGCUAACUUCGU
rnacentral:rRNA from 1 species